rnacentral:lncRNA from 1 species
CUCUUUUACCCCUUCUCUUGCAUUCUUUUGGGUUUCCUCAGAAACAUAUUUCCUUUAGAAGGAAGAUCACCAAAAUGGGUACAAAUCAGGUCAAAUAUUUUUGUCUCCUUUGUUUAAGGUUUGAAACCACGUAGGUAUAAAUAUGACUUGCAUAAUGUGAGCCUUCUUCGAUGCUGGAAAGAAAUUAUUUCAGCAUGCCUUUACCUGCAGUAUGAUUUGUGUUUCCACAAAUGAUCCAAGACUUAGGUUUCUUCUCCUUCGUGAGAUGUGACCAUCAACUCAUCUGUAGCAGCUUGUAGAAAAGUAGCUACUUGUACUUCUGUUAAAAGGUGUUCUGCAUAAUUCAGGGUAAGUAAUAUGUUCUAUAGGCAGAAAAAUAAGAACAUACACCGAUUUAUAACUCUUAAG